rnacentral:lncRNA from 10 species
ACACUGCCUCCAAUGAUGACAUCAACAGAACACGUGGCUCACGUUGAGGCUAUCUGAAGUUACCAAAAAUACAAAGACAGAAAGCACAUCUUCAUCCUUUUUUUCUGGAGAGUCUCUCCCACCUGGACAGCUAAGUUGGGGCCCUGAAUUUCAAAUGAAAGCCUCUCAAGGCGUGGGUAAACCUGGCCACUGCAGGACAGCAGAGUCCCUGGCUUUCCAGGUGUGCCCUUCUCUGUCCAUGCCCAGCCUGGGAAAAGACCAGACCGUCCACGGAGCACUGGAGCACACAGUACAUGGGCGUCUUCCGUCCAUGAACCCAAAUCAGGAUCCCAGUGCACAUGAGGGUCCCGAUUAAGGUUAAACUGUACAGAAUGGAACAAUACCUGCUCUGUUUUGACGACACUGGAUGUAUCAGUCGGCUGAGGCUGUGUUAGGCUGCAGUUACAAGCAGCUCUAAAAUCCCAGACGCUUUCUGAAACACAGGUGGCUCUCAUUCCUAUUACAUGCACCUUAGCUGUGGCUGAAGAAGCAGCCUUUAUCCAGAUUAAUGUGGAUGCCCUGGAAGAAAAAAAAAAAAAACAAAGGCAGAUAGCUUCUGUCGCG